GUCCUUCUAGUUGUGGCAUGUGGGACGCUGCCUCAGCAUGGUUUGAUGAGCAGUGCCAUGUCCGCGCCCAGGAUUAGAACCAACGAAACACUGGGCAGCCUGCAACGGAGCACGCGAACUUAACCACUGGGUCACGGGGCCAGCCCCUAUUUAUUUGUUUUUUUAAUUCCACUUUUACUGCUGUCUUAUGACCAUGAUGCUGCUUCCUUUAAAGUGAGAACCCUGGGAUUCUGGUAGGAGACAGCAAUCAAAGUGAAAGGAGUUACAAACUCUAUGGGAAGGUAGAGGAGAAAUUUUAGAAAUAGAGAAUAGGAAAAAAAAAAAUGCGAAGGGCUGGCCCAGUGGCGUAGUGGUUAAGUUCAUGUGCUCUGCUUCAGCAGCCUGGGGUUUGCAGGUUCGGAUCCUGGGCAUGGACCUACACACUGCUCAUCAAACCAUGCUGUCGUGGCGUCCCUUAUACAAAAUAGAGGAAGAUGAGCACAAAUGUUAGCUCAGGGACAAUCUUCCUCAAGCAAAAAGAAGAAAAUUGGCAACAGAUAUUAGCUCAGGGCCCAUCUUCCUCACCAAAAUAAAUAAAUAAAGCCUACUGAAGGCAGACAAGAGCUUAUUAUGAUAGUAAAGAAUUCCCAGGCUGGAUGAUAGAGGUCCAGGGAGGUGGCCCAGCACGUGGAGAUGUUUUGUUCAUGGGGAUUUUUGCCAACUCUGAAGGAAGUAGCUGAGAGGCUGAAAGGCUGAAGGGUACUUUGGACAGCCAUAUUGGGCUAGGGGGCCCAAGCUAGUGCCCACCAAGAGUACCUCUAGUGAACAGUUAGUUGAGACCCCAAAGGGAUCACCCUAGGAAUAAGCGUGAACUAGAGUUAGAAAAUCCUUGUAAAGAUUAAAGCUCAACCUCAAAUGAUCUCAUCUCUGAACUUGGAUUGAAGUAAUCCAGAUUGGUGGUGUUUCUCUCUGGAGGAAAAUGUCACCUUAGAUCUAAAAUUAAUUCUACACACAAUGUUGCAAAUACAACAUUGGGCACGUGAUAAAAAAUAACCAAGUACAUGAUGAGAUAAGGCAACAUGAAAAACAAACAAAGAAACAAAACCAGAAACAACCAUCCACAGAAACAGACCCAUGGGAGCUUCAGCUAUAAGAAUUAUCAGUAAAGUCUUAUAUUAACUGUUUCCUAUGUUCAAGAAGAUAAAUGAAAAGACUGGAAAUUUUGACAAGAACUGGAAAUUAUAAGAAAGAAACAAGUGGAAAUUUUAAAGAUUUUAUUUUUUCUUUUUCUUCCCAAAGCCCCCUGGUACAUAGUUGUGUAUUUUUAGUUGUGGAUCCUUCUAAUUGUGGCAUGUGGGAUGCCACCUCAGCAUGGCUUGAUGAGCGGUGCCAUGUCUGUGCCCAGGAUUUGAACCGGUGAAACCCUGGGCCACCAAAGCAGAGUGCACAAACUUAACCACUCAGGCACGGGGCUGGCCCCACAAAUGGAAAUUUUAGAACUGAAAAACAUAACAACUGAAAUUAAGUACUCAAUGGAUGAGUUUAACACAGAUGAAGGGAGAACUGGCAAAAUGGCAGAAAGUCCAGAGGAAAUAAUUCGGAAUGAAUCAUGAAGAGAUAAAUUAAUGGACAAUAUAUAGGCAAGGAUAAGUAAAAGAGAAUACGAUAAGAAGAUAUCACCUACUUGAGAGAGAGAGAGAAUGAGGAAAAAGUAAUAUCUGAAGAAAUAAUGGUGAGAAUAUUCCAAAGCUGAUGAAAAGAUAUUAAGCCAUAUAUUCAACAAAUCUUUCCAAUCCCAAACAGAUUUUUAAUAAGGAGAAAACCACAUCUAGUCACAUUAUAGUAAAACUUCUAAAACUAGGGGGCUGGCCCCGUGGCCGAGUGGUUAAGUUCGCGUGCUCCGUUGCAGGCAGCCCAGUGUUUCGUCAGUUCGAAUCCUGGGCGCGGACAUGGCACUGCUCAUCAGACCACGCUGAGGCAGCGUCCCACAUGCCACAACUAGAAGAACCCACAACGAAGAAUACACAACUAUGUACCGGGGGGCUUUGGGGAGAAAAAGGAAAAAAUAAAAUCUUUAAAAAAAAAAAAAAAACAAACUUCUAAAACUAAAGACAAAGAGAGAAAAAUCUGAAACAUAUCCUGAUUAUAACACAAACAACAUUCAACGAAGCAACAGACAGACAGCCUACUUCAACAGAAGCACUGUAAAACACAAGACAACGUGACUGUAAAUGCAUCAGAAUGAGUGGGAAAUACAUCUUUAGGUAAACAAAAGCUGGUAGAGUUUGUUACUAGCAGAUCUGAACCAAAGGAUACUAUUCAGGCAGAAGGGAAAUGAGUCCAGAUGAAAGCUUGAAGAUGCAGGAAGGAAUCCGAAAAAAUAAAAAAAGGUUAAUUUAACUCGAUAUUGACAUCAAACAAUAACAGGAAUUAGAAUACACAAGUACAAUGGCAUAUAAGGGAGGGGGGAGUAAAUGGAAUUAAAGUACUCUAAGACCCUUACUUAGUUCAGGAAGAAGAUAACAACAACAAUCAAAUUAGACUUGUGAAGAAUGCAGUUGUUGUCUAUAUGCAAAAGAGGCUAUAGCUUCCAAGCUACAAGAAAGAAAUAAAAUAGUAAUAAUUUUAAAAAUUCAAAAUAAAAACAAAGGUGAGAAAAAAAGAAUGUAGACCAAAACAGAGUAACAAUAAGUUACAUAAUUAAAUAAGAUUAUAAACCUGAUUAUAGCAGUAAUUAUACAUAAUGCAUUGAGACAGUCAAAGAUCUUCAAACUGAUAUAAAAGACUAUGUUUAUGAGAAUUAUCUGUAUCUAUAUGAAUACAGUAAUGUUAAAAGUAACAAGAGAGAUAAAGAAAUAACAAUAUAAAUAGCAAUGAAAGGAAAGUGAGUAUAGCUAUAUUAAUAUCAGAUACAGUAACCUGUAUCUGUAAAGAGGAACACAAUAAUGGUAAAAAUAUACAUUUUAUCAGGAAGAUAUGAAAAUUUAAAAUUUGUAUCCACCUAAAAAAUAUGGCUUCAAAAUAAUAUAAAGCAGAAAAAGAACAGAACUAAAUAGGAAAAUAGACAAAAAUAUUCGAGUAGAAGUUUUGGGGGUUUUUUUGUUGGUUUUUCUUUCUUUCUUUCUUUUAGUGAGGAAGAUUGGCCCUGAGCUAACAUCUGUGACCAUCUUCCUCCAUUUUGUAAGUGGGAUGCCGCCACAGCAUGGCUUGAUGAGCAGCGUGUAGGUCUGCCCCUGGGAUCCGAACCCGGGAACCCUGGUCUGCUGAAGUAGAGUGCACAAACUUAACCACUACACCACCGGACCAGCCCCAGAGUGGAAGUUUUUUAAACAUACUUUGUAACUGAUAGAACGAGCAAACAAAGAUCAGAAGAACUUGGAGGACUGGAGCAACAUGAUUAAGAAAUCACCUGAUUCAUAACAUGGAGUGUUCAACGGCAGGGUACAUACUCUUUUAAAGCAUAUAUGGAAAAACUGACCAUAUACUGUGUCAUAAAGCAAGUCUCAACACAUUCCCGAGGACUGAAGUCAUACAGCGUAGGCUCUCUGACCACACUGCAGCCGAAAAGAAAUCAGUAACAAAGAGAUACCAGGAAACCCUCAUUUAUAGGGAAAUUAAGAAAUACGCCUCUAAGUAAUCCCUGUGUCAAAAAAGAAAACACAAUGCAAAUUAGAAAAUAUUUUGGGUGGCAUGAAAUGAAUGAAAAUGUUAUAUAUUAAAAUAGGGAGAAAUUUCUUGAUGUUAAAAUGUUGGACAUCAUAUAUCAACUUUUGACCAUAGAAAAGCUGGAUUUAACUCUUUGAAACCUCCUCAUGCCCCCCCCCCCCCAAAUAUUUCCCUUCUCCCCACUCCCCACCCUCUCAAAUGGUUAUAGCACAUAUUGGUUAAAUUAAUAUUCACUAUUUAUAUUAUUUUGGUUAUGUAAGUAUUUUUCAGAAAAUAUAUAUGGACUAGAUGUUGCCUUCAAGGCAGACCAGUCUUCCCCUCCUAUCUAUCCUAUUUACUUUCUUAUGCCUUUGCCAUCUCUGAACCUCCUCACCCAGCUGUCAAUGACAUCAGCUAACAGUUAAGCAGCUAACAACCUCCAGAAUCCAGACUGCCAGGGCCGAAGCUUCCCUGGAGCUGAUGGCAACUCAAGAUGGAAAGAGACGCGUUUGCAGAUUCCAAGAUGGCCAGAGCAAAGCUGAGGAUGCACAAGGGAAAUAGUGCUAAAAAAAAAUAAAGUAGAUGCUUUCACAGCAGAUGGGAAUAGCUGUUUCUUUUUGGCUAACUGUGAGAGCACAGAGCGAGAAUAGACUGAGAGUUGAGCAUGCUUAAUGAUUUUAUUACAGGGGAAAAACAAAAGUUCAAACUUUUUAAUUUUCCUUUUCAAUACCAAAAAAAAAAAAAAAAGGGAAAGAAAGAGAGGAAGGAGAAAGAGGCCGUUCCCAGGAUACAAAUCUAUUGCUUAAGGAAUGUUCCCCAGGAUACAAGCAUGUGCUUAUGAAUGAGAGCAGGUGGCGUUCUUCUGCUGUGACCCCCUAGGAGGCAGCCUCUUUAUCCACUAAGUGCAGGGGGUGGUGUAUAAAGAAAAGAAAGGGAGGGGAGCUUCUCUCACAGCCAGAGCAGGUGGGGAGGCAGAAAGCAAGUGUCUUCAUUACGGGCAGUGAAGCAGGAUGAACAGUUUGUUGUCCCAGCUUCCUGGUUAGAAGCCAAAGUGCAUUUUCAACUGAAGCAGGAAAUCUCUAGCACUUUCAGGAAUGGUUAGGUAUGGGGUAUACUCUUGUAUCAGCAUGGAAGAAGACAACAACAAAUAUUAUCUAUAAAAAAAGAGCUGGGGUUUUAUUUUUCUCCUAUUGAAAUAUAAAGAUUCCUACAGAAGAGCUGGAAACUUCACCACCAUUCAUUUUUUUCAUUCGUCCGACAGGUAUUUCUGGAACACUUACUGAGUACCCUGCACUGAGCUAAAGCUAGACUUUUCUCAGAAUGAACUGAGAGUCUGUGAGGGGAUGCAGAUACCAAAAGGCAGUCACGACAGCGUAAUAAGGUGAAACGAGGUGGAUUCAGGUGCUACCUGCGCCCAGGAGAGGUCGUGCUCCGUGCAGGCUGGGUGGAGGACGGGCUGCUUUUACGGAAACUGUCAUCUAAGGUGACACCUGAAACAUAAGGAUCUGUGGCACUGCAACUAUGGGAAAAUGUUAUAAAUCCAAGCUUAGGCCUUACGACAGACCUAACAGGCAUGGAAAUUUAAGUUUGCUCGUAUAUAAUUUCUUUCUAAAGCAAAGAAAGAAGUCACUCAUACUCGUUGCUAAGACUUCUGAUUUUUACCAAUUAUCUUGAGGCUGAAACCCUUUCUGUUGUUUCGCUUUCCACACGACCACCUAAAAAGGUCCCAGUCCACUCAUGUGCUUUGCUCCACUGCUUUCUGACCCGUUAUGCAGGGUUGCCUCAAAAUAUUUCUUGGGAAUUCAGGGAGAGUUCACGAUGGGGAAGGCUGGCGACUGCGUCUCAGAACUCGCUCUCAGCAAGCCCUCCAAAGGUAACCGGCCGAGCCCUGCUUUUGAUCAAAUUUUAAUGAUCACGCUGAUAUAAACUACUUUCUGUUCCUGAUCUAUUUCCCAGGAUCUUUCCUGCAGUUAAUCACCAGCUGAAUGGAUCCUGGGGCUCCAGGCCAAAGUGAAAAUGCUGCUCAGCUUGCAAGCAUCAUUACAGAGCACUUUGAUUAGCUCUGACUCACCCUGCGCCGUCUCCACAGCCUGCAAGAAGGCUGCCUGUUACCUUUGUUUCCUCCAGUUCCCAUGGAUACCACCUGAAGGGGCUUCGAAAGCUUCUAAUACCGGCUUCCUCUGUCUUUUGUGACUCUCCACCGAAAUUUCUUCUUCCCCUCAUCCCCGGCAAGAGUUGUAGCCAGAACAUGCUGUCCAGCCUGGGACUACGUUUCUCAGCCUCCCUUGAGCCACUUGAGGUUAUGUGUCUACACCUUCACCAAUGGAACUUGAGCAAGAGGGUGCCACACUCAAGCUGGAGCCCACUGCCUCCAUGAUCUUUUCCUAUUCCCUUUUGGUCUUGUUGGUGAAAACAUGUAAUGGUCUUAAAAUCCAUGAGUUGCUAUCAGACUUGGUGCCUAAGCCACGCAUCAACCCAGAGCCCUUGUCUGGAUGGCUUCACGACAGAGAAAGAAACAGCUUGUUCCUCAGCUCACCACAUUUUAGAGAUCUUUAUUAGAAAGCUUACGUUGCCCUAGCAAACUUGGCCACAACGCUCCAAGUUUUCUGUCUCCAGGGUUACUCUGAGGAUCAAAAUUCAUUUUCACCACAGUCCCUCAGUGUGAAGAGAAGACUUUAACAAAAAGUCAGGUACACCGUUCUGCCUGCCCUUCACGUGUGCAGAGGUUUUGGCUGCUCCCAGCCAAGUCGCUGCACUUGGUUACCCCAUGAGUCCAACUGCUGGCCACAGGAGCUCCACGUGUACUGGGCCAAGAAAGCAGGCAGUCAGAGCUGCCAGAGCCGGUGGAGACAUCUCUCUGUUCUGGCACGUGAAUCUCCCUACUCUGGUAUGUGACCUCUCUAACAACUUGUCACACAUUUCUAAGACUCCAGACAUUUUUUUUUCAAACUUUGUCUUAAAUAGUGGCUUUUAAACUUUUAAAUUAAAAAAUUAAACCCACAGUAAAAUAUAAAUUUAACAUUGACCUGUACACACACUAACACACACACAUACACACACACAAUAUAAGCAAAAAUAUUUCGUGAGAAACAUGUAAUAUUUACCCUUACCCUGUGUGUUGCACUCUGAUACAUCCUAUUCAAUUUUAUUUCAUUUUUGAAAAAUUGCGAGACAUAAAUGACUACCUUGUUUUCACGACAGGUCGUGACCUACAGUUUGGGGAGCACAUUGUCCAACUGUUCUAAGCACUGCCCCGAGCACAUCAUCCCCUUAGACUGGGGCUCCAACCCAUCAAAUGCUUCGAAAGCCCUCGGUUUCAGGACCCCAGCCCAGGAGUGCGUGAGCUGUGCUAGGUUGGGGAGGCAGGUCCCGGGCCCCAGUCCCUCAGGAGGUGUCUUGGAGUUAGAAGGGACACCUUCUCAGCUGCAUAAAUCUCUUCCACAUCACCCCAGAACAGGUGGCCCAGGCUCUGCUCCACGUCCCCGGCUGUCAGGAGCUCACUGCCUGCUGCUUUAACUGACUGAGAUAUUAAAGAGUUCUUCAACGUUCCCAGUAGAAAUAACCAUGCUGCCACGUGCAUCCUCCAUGCUGGUCCUGCCCUUGGAAGCCAGGAAAAACCCUAUGGUCAUGUUUGGUUUUCAAGAGAGGAAAGAGUUGUUGACUCCAUCCAGAUGGGGACUGCGAGGGACUGGUCUGCCCUGGAGCCGGGGAAGGCUUCCAGUGGGUGCAGAGAACCAGAGCAGGAGCCUCUGAUAGACUUGCGAUGAUGCAUGUCCACUGGGAGCUCAGGAAGCAUAAAAGGAGCAUGUGCAGGUUUCUCCUGCAAAAGCCCGGGUCAGAGGCACAUCUCCAGCAGGACUGGCAUUCAGAAGGGCUACUUUGGGGAGACAGCUUCUUAAAAAAGGAGCAAUUUACGAUCUCAACAUUUUUGGAGAGAACGUGUUUUAUUCAUUCCCUGCCACAACCCACCUGUUGCAUAUGGCGCUGUGGGCAGCGCAGGAGUUACAGACUUACAGUUACUGGUUGUUCUUCAGACAGGCUGUGCCUUGUCUGGGGGAGGCGCGGAGAGAUGUUUCCUCAAACAGCCAAGAGCAAGAAGGCUAGAGGGAGUGCAUCCGUCAUGCUGGGGGUGCACCAAGGGUCAAGCGUAGGCAAACACAAUUCUGUGCACUCAAUGUGGCAUAUGGAACAUGUACAGAGAACCCGCCAGGAUGGCCGCCAAAAUGGAUGGAAAAUGGGAGAACGGAGAGGAGACGAUGGGGAGAGGCCAGGACAAUUUCCUGCACCAAUUGUCCUGGGUAAUCAGGACAGUCUCCCUGAGCAGACUGCUGUCCCGGCUUAUGUUUUAUUGCUUGGCCAGUGCACGGCAAGUCUGCUAGGUUUACAUUAAGGCGCAACACUCAGGAAAACAGCUGCCUUCAAAACAGUGAUUUUUGCUUUCUGGAGCUGCCCUAUCCUUUAGCAGUCUCACCUUCACUCUGCCGUCAAGAAGAUCUGCCUUUUGAAUGUACAAGUCAGAGUAAAACUGUGUCAAAGUUUUUAAACCUAUAACGUUUAACCACACUGUGGAUUCACAAUGGCGAAAAGCCUCAAUCGUCUUCCAAACUGGAAAGUUUAAAGAUACUUAGCACAAAGUUGGAUCAUGGAUCCACUUUUGAAAAAGAAACUUUCCAUUUCAGCUAGAAGAGCAUCACUUUAAGUAGGAGCACUGCCUGAAAGACUGUGUAAACUAUGACCACGAAAUAAGGAACUUUUUAAACAAACACAUUAGAAUGUCUAACCCAAAUAAGUGUCAGUCUUGGGAGCAUCUUUUUCGUCAAAUGAUGCCAUUAUUGCUCAAAGCUUUUUCAAAAUUCUUCUUUCCGAGGAGCCUUCAAAACGACUUGCACAAAAGCAGAAGGAUGUCACCUGACUUGAUAGUCACAGGUUUGCUUUCUUGAUGCAAUGCAAUUUUCUUCUUUUCACACUUUUUGCAACUUUAACCCUGCCCUGCUUCCCUCUUUCACGUCAUGAACUAAUAACCAAGGGAUCCCAAGAGACGUGUUGUAAUGGUGCUACCUGAGAAAGGAAAGGUCUGGGAGAAAGAGCAUGGGGCUAGUUAUAGCUCAGAAUAGGAGAGACCAAAGGAGCAUGGCCACUGCCUCAAUCCCUUUGGAUAUUGAGUGACUAUAAGAAAUGUAAUUGGAUAACUGGCCAAGUGUCCUCAACACAAAUCAUCUCAAGUUGAACCCCCAUUAAGUCAGGGGAUAUUCCUUGGCUAUAGCCAAGAGGUAGCAUCAUGCAUCUAACAGAGAUCUGGAUUUGGUCAAAGUCUUUUUUUGCAACAGACCAGAACAUGACCGGCCAGCCAUGCUGGAGCUGGUUGCCACUGGAUGGCAGGGAAUUUUGAGGCAGAGAUAAUGUAGCAAAGAACCAGUUGUUGUUUGGAUUCCCUCAAUGGCAGCAGCUGUAAGAGAGUCUUCUAAGUGUUGGCUUGGACCAAUGUUUGGGGAAAGAUUAGUUUGAGAGAGUUCUAGUUGUGUGGAGCUACAAGAGGAGAAAGAACCAGCUCAGGGUAGGCAAGAAUAACAGAGAACCUGAGGUGUGUACCCAGAUUUGGAAGACCUAGUUGGCUUGCUGUAAGGAUUAAAUGAGAUAUUUAUGCAAAUACUUUGAAACUAUAAAAUGCUUUUGUUGAUGUGUUAUUCGCCACCUCUAUUUACCUCCCAGGAAAGCAAACGAAUUUCAACCUUCCUGCCCCUCCAGUUAUCACUUAUCUACAUCCACCUCCAUCUCCUUUGCUCUUCCUAUAGCUAGUGAAAGACACUUCCUGUUUUUAUCCAAUGCUAAUUCCUACACCUGUGCAAUGCCUGUGCUCUUCUGAUCCAUCCCUUCCUGCUUCCUGACUUCUUGUUCCAUCAGUUAUGCUUCAUUUGUUCACCUCGUCAACCUCUCCCUCCCUCUUCCCCAUCAUAAUUCAAACAUGAUCUAAGAUCUCCCAACUUAAAAAAGGAGAAAAAUCCUUCCUCACACCAUGAUUUUCCUCCCCCUAGGGCACCUCUUGUUUCUCAUACUGUUGCCUUUUCUUCAUAGUCAGCCUUCUGGCAAGGGCAAUCUCUACUCAUUACCUCCAGCUGCUUAUGUCCCAUCCAUAUGUGACCUCCCUGCAGAGGGCUCCUGGAUCUGUCACUGCACUGGACCUGGUUUUGUCAAGGUGACCAGUGACCACCCUCCACCAAAUCCAAUGGCCACGUGUUUGUUCUAUUAAUUAACUUUCUAAACCCUCUUCCCUCCGCUGCUAUGGGAACACACUCUCCUGCGGUUUCUCUCACUUUUCCAACUGUUCUGUCCCAUUCUUCUUCCUCCAUCUGUUCCUUAAACAGUGGGGAUCCCUCUUGGACUCUAGGGGCACUGAUGGUUCUUCAGCUCUUAGGAGGAAACUGGUUGGCACAUCGUUGGUUCACAGUCAAUGCCUUUUCUUGAACCAAAGGGUUUGGAGUCGGUGCUUUCUCCCUCUGGGACCCUUCUUUGGGUUCUUAUCUUCCCAGAGGUCUGGUGUAGUGAGUCAGCCUGUGGCCACCUGCUGCUGGGAAAGCACAUGACCUAAAGGUGAGGCUUCCAUCAGCAACGCUCCGGGCUCCAGAACAAACCCGUCUUUGUUCCUUCUGCUUUUUUGCUGUGCCUUUUCUAGGGUUCACCUUGCCUCUCUGUAAAAGGGGUAAGGCACAGCGGAGACUUGCAUCUGGGCUUAUGAGGACAGGUGGCCACUCGGUCCAUUGUAUCUAAGUCUUGGAUCUGCUUCCCGCAAGCCAGAGAGAGAUCCUGUGUGGCUCCAUUAGCCACACCCGGCACACCAGCCUAGGGCUCCUCGCUGAGGUCGGCGGCUAAGGCCCUCAUAUAUCUACUUCUUGGGGGCUUCCUCUGCCUGGCUACCUUCUUUAUGAACUUAUCUGCCCCAGGGUCCUAGAACAGGAUGUAGGUGUUGAGGUCUCCGGGGCGGGUAUUCUCCACUGCGUCGCAAUCUGAC
rnacentral:lncRNA from 1 species